UUAACCCUCAACUGCUCAAGUUGUACUCACUCAUAAUUCAACUUCACAGGAACCUGGUCUAGUCCUUCAUAAUCAAGUGGCAGUGACAAGGAAAAACUCCCAUAUGGGAGAAACCUUGGGAGGUCCAGACUCCUGCGGGAAACCCGGCCUCCUUUGGGUGAUACUGAAUAGCAGCACUACAAUGAAUAGGAAAAAAUUAGUGUCUCGGUGCCUUUCUGCAGUUUGUCCUUCUCUGCUGCAAGUUUCGUUCCAUUACCCAGGGCGGGGGACGACGGAAACCUGG